rnacentral:rRNA from 1 species
CACGCAUGACACACUGCAUAUCAAUAAGCGGAGGAAAAGAAACUAACUAGGAUUCCCUUAGUAACGGCGAGUGAAGCGGGAAGAGCUCAAAUUUGAAAUCUUCAAGGUUCUACCUUGACGAAUUGUAGUUUAUAGAAGUGUUUUCUGUUGAAGUUGAGCGUCAAAAGUUCUUUGGAAUAGGACAUCAUAGAGGGUGAGAAUCCCGUAUUUGGUCAUUCCUCCUAGCGUUGUGAUACACUUUCAACGAGUCGGAUUGUUUGGGAAUGCAGUCCAAAAUGGGUGGUAAAUUUCAUCUAAAGCUAAAUAUUGGCGAGAGACCGAUAGCGAACAAGUACCGUGAGGGAAAGAUGAAAAGAACUUUGAAAAGAGAGUUAAACAGUACGUGAAAUUGUCAAAAGGGAAGCGUUUGACACCAGUGUUGUUUUUCUCGAAAAUCAAUUAAGAAGAGUUGGAUUUUGUAUUGGUUAUGACCUUUAUCAGGCUUACUGUACUUUUUUCUUGCUAACUUUUUAAUGCACUUUUCGGUUAACAAAGUCAACAUCAAUUUCUUUUGUUGUAAAAGGGUCAUUGAGGAAGGUGGCUUUCACUUCGGUGAAAGUGUUUAUAGCCUUUGGCUUCUAGCAAUCGGAGAGAUUGAGGUCUGCAGCGUAGAUCCUUCGGGGUUAGAUACGUAGAUGCUAAGUUAUAGUUUUUAUAGACAACUUGUUGACUAUGAUUAGUCAUGUAGCUUACUCGUUUACGCUAUUUUACCUACGCUUAGGAUGUUGAUCUGUAGUGCGUGCGC